rnacentral:lncRNA from 1 species
CAUACCACAAUUGCAUAUUUAGAUCAAUUUUUGAAUCCCAAAAGAUUUUUGAAAAGGUUUUAUUCCCUUUUAAACCCUAGGUUUUCACCCAUUUGAGCCUUGGAUCUUUAAACCAUUAGGGUUUAUCUAUAAAAGGGGUUUAUUGCAUAAAUAAGCUAUCCCAUAAUUUUUGCGUAUUUAUUUGGAGUUGAAAAACUAUUUUAUAUAAAUAGAUAUCUAAAGGCAUUUAUAGGGAAAAUGUAUUUUUAUAUAUUUUAUUUGGAAGGGAAAUUGGUCCCAAAAGUUGAAUCAUAUUAUGAUAUGAUUUUACAAAUUUUCUGAAAUUUAUUUGGAUCAAUUUGGAGUUCAAAAUCAAAAGAUAGCAAAAAAAACAGAAAAGGGAAAAGAAAAGAAAAAAAAAAGAAAACCGGACCGGCCCAGCCAAGUUGGACUGAACUGGCCCAGUCCCGAUCGCAGACCGACCGACCUAGCCGGCCCGCAGCGCGCGCCCACGCGCCGAGCCACCAACAGGUGGGGCCCAC